AUACGGAGGGUGCUAGCGUUGUUCGGAAUUACUGGGCGUAAAGCGCGUGUAGGCGGACUAAGAAGUCGGGUGUGAAAGCCCUCAGCUUAACUGAGGAAGUGCGCUCGAAACCAUUAGUCUAGAGGCUCGGAAGGGAUCGGGGAAUUCCCAGUGUAGAGGUGAAAUUCGUAGAUAUUGGGAGGAACACCAGUGAUGAAGAUGCCGAUCUGGACGAGUACUGACGCUGAUACGCGAAAGCGUGGGGAGCAAACAGGAUUAGAUACCCUAGUAGUCC
rnacentral:rRNA from 1 species